UACACAAACACACACACACACACAUACACUCUUCAUUAAACUACAUUUUAAAGUAGAUAGAAGCAAAUAAAGUAAAUAAAAUAAAAAAUAGGACCAUACUUAUAAAUUAGCAUCCCACAGAAUUAAUAUAAGUAGAACUAAAUAAUAUUUUCAAAAAAUUUAACAGAAUAUAAACACAUCAAGAAUUUACAGUUCUGGCAGAAAGAAAAUGGGAAUCAAAUACUAAAUUUGAUAAAUAAUUUAUGUUUAAUAUAAAGUACAAUAGAUUGAUAUAUAUGUAUGAAGGUUUUGUAUGAGAGCAAUUUGCAGUGGAACUCCCAUCAUAUUCCCACAUCUUUUUUUAAAUAUUUUUUUUAGUUGUUGACGGAUCUUUAUUUUAUUCAUUUAUUUAUAUGUGGUGCAGAGAAUCAAACCCAUUGCCUCACACAUGUCAGACAAGCGCUCUACAAAUGAGCCCAAUCCCAGCUCUAUCCUCCCACAUCUUAGCCACAGGCACUCAGCACUCUACCACCUCGUUCUGAAAUUUAAAGUCAUAUUCAAAUAAUGAUUCUCUAUUUCUUGUGUGUGCAUUAUUACACAACACUUAAUGAUUUCCAAGUAUGUGGAAAUGAGAGUUUGCAUAACUCAAUGAGUUAAGCACAAAAUUGGGAAAGGACACACACACACACACACGAGAUUGCCCACCAGACUCUAUUCACGAGGAUAUAUUAGACGGCAAUUUUUGCUUAUAUCAACAUCCAUGAGGUACGACCUUCUGGUAGUAUACACAUACUUUCUGUUAUAUGAAAUUAUGAUUAUUUUUCAUUGUUGGUGCUUUCUUGGUCUUCUCCCAGUUUCUCUAUGUAAGCCCAUCAUUUUCCAAUUUUGAGUUAGGAUUAUUCAAGAUGCUCAGGUAGAUGUUUUAUACUGCAGGAAUCAUUGUCCAGCCGUCGGAAACCUCAGACUAUUCCUCACAUCCCUUUUGCUCCUGAGUUCUCUCCUGUCAUCUGCAUCAUCCACCUUCAUGCUGAAGGCUGCUUCCUAGGUCCAGCACCCAGCAGUCUCCCCAACACUCUCAUCCCAUUCCUGGAGCCCAUGGCUUCCUGACUUAUAGACAUUUAGAUGCAACAUUCUCCAGUAAUUUUCUGAGAAAUAGGGGUACUGGUAUAAUAUUUUGGCAAAUGUGCAGGUCUGAAAUACACCUAUUCUAUGAAAUAACAAGAUAUUAGUUACUUGUAAGAACUCUGGUGCUGCUCUGGUGUUUCACAUAAGUCAAGGGAUAUUUCUCUGAAUGUUGUAAUGAAUUCUUCAUCCCUUGUGAUAUGCAAUGCUACAACCCUGUGUUUUGGGUGGAUGCUUUUAUUUCACUCUCUCUGAUGGAUGAUUGGAAGAAUUUUCUACUAAGAUGGCAAAAUAUGAAAGUCUUUACUCCACAGUUCUUCCCUCCCUUGAGAGCACAUGACUUUUCUGAUGUUGAAGGAAGAGCUCAGAUUCUCCAAAGCUUCCUUUCAGCCCCACACCUCAGUCUUUCUUUGCCACUACAUAAGAUCCCUUAGGAAAUGGAUUCUGAGGCUCGGUAUGUUCCCUUACAGUUCUUUUCCUACAAAGAAAAUAUUUGUCACCUGAUGAGUGAAGAUGUGAAAAGAAUGAUUUAAUGCUAUUAGCUGACAAGGGAUUUGCCUGAGCAGAAAAGCCUCCCUUUUCAACCUCACUCUCCCUUCAUUGAUUCCUGUUAUUUCCAAACAAGAGAAUCUUGUUGGAGUUUUAAGAACAGAGAUUGCUUUUCUUUCUUCAUAAAUUUUCCUCUUCUAAUAUUCAGGUUACCAGACUAUCCUCCUUUUAGAUUCCAUCACCACACUUGCAUCUGCCUUCUAUGAUUAAGAAACUUGGUGAAGAUUAUAUAAAGUGUUUAUUGUUCCUGUCCUCUCUUCCUUGAAAGAGAAUGAGUCUAACAAAUAAUUGUGUUGCCAUCCUUUAGUGGAAUCAUCACACAAGACUCAAAAAAGUAUGCUUAUUGCUACUGCAUGAACAAAUUCCUUUAAAGGUGAUUUUUAAGUGGUAUUGAUAAAACAUCAAAUUUUUGACCACCCCUCAAGAAAGGUUCUUACUCCAUGAAACACAAGUUUUAUGGAAGCAGUCUGUUGAAAUGAUGAAUUAAAAAAUUAGGAACAGAUCUGCCAAAAUUAAAAUACCUUUCUGACAUAUAUACAUGAAUAGAAUACUUCCAAGUGAGGAAUCAUCUCAGGAAGCUUCAUUACAUUCUAGGAUUUCCACCAAGGCUUCAAGAAGGAGUUUCCUUUUCCCUACCCCAGAAUUAGAAUUAGCAGAAUGAGGAGAGGCAUCUUCAAGAGGGAGGGCGGGGGCCGUCUGCAGGGUCUGGC
rnacentral:lncRNA from 1 species